CCGGGUCUAUACAAAUUUUUUCUAAAGAUAAAAAAUCAAAGACGGAGAAAGGGGAGGGUCGGAAAGGACACAUAAAUACUAUCCCGUGUGAGGGGACAAUGUGAAACGGCCCGCGCGGUAGCUGUUACAGGCUAUAAAAUCGCACAAACCUCUACGCCCCUUCUUCCCUCUCAUUCAUUUCCAAUCUUAACCUAGAAAGCCCCAAACCUCUCUCUCUCUCUC
rnacentral:lncRNA from 1 species